rnacentral:rRNA from 1 species
GACGAACGCUGGCGGCGUGCCUAAUACAUGCAAGUCGAGCGCAGGAAACUGACGGAACUCUUCGGAGGGAAGGCAGCGGAAUGAGCGGCGGACGGGUGAGUAACACGUAAGGAACCUGCCUCAAGGAUUGGGAUAACUCCGAGAAAUCGGAGCUAAUACCGGAUAGUUCAUCGGACCGCAUGGUCCGUUGAUGAAAGGCGCUCCGGCGUCACCUUGAGAUGGCCUUGCGGUGCAUUAGCUAGUUGGUGGGGUAACGGCCCACCAAGGCGACGAUGCAUAGCAGACCUGAGAGGGUGAUCGGCCACACUGGGACUGAGACACGGCCCAGACUCCUACGGGAGGCAGCAGUAGGGAAUCUUCCACAAUGGACGAAAGUCUGAUGGAGCAACGCCGCGUGAGUGAUGAAGGUUUUCGGAUCGUAAAACUCUGUUGUAAGGGAAGAACACGUACGAGAGGGAAUGCUCGUACCUUGACGGUACCUUACGAGAAAGCCACGGCUAACUACGUGCCAGCCGCCGCCGUAA